UUGGAACUAUUCUGUUAAGUUAUACUUAGAAGCCCUUGAAGAUGUUGCGAGCUUGAUUGAGGAACUUGACAAUGAUCAACAAGCAUAAGAUUCUAUCGGAAGAAUCGCGGCGACGACAUUCUCGUGUCGAUUGUUUCGCAUAAUAAAUACAAUAAGCUCCAACAA